UCUUAUUGCUAUGAUGAUAAUGUGUAUCCCAGCUCAUUAUGAGACUUUUUUGUAAGGUCUGGGAAUUGAAUUUUCCACAUCUAUCUGAGCUUUCA